UCGAAAAUAGUUAAUAUUAAAAUGUAAAACUAUAUUUUAUGUCACGUGUCAUCUUUCGGGAUAAUUUUUUUCCGCUUAUGUGGACGUCCUAUGGAGCCUCAAAAGCUCCCUUUUAUUAGUAGAGAUUGUUAUGUAGUUUUCCAAAAAUACCCUCAAAUGCGCGUGGGAAGUCGGCAUGUUGUAGCUACUCUUUAAUCUGAAACCUGAAAAGUCAUAUUUCAUUUUCCAAAAGAACUCAUGCGAGAAAGAAUACAGAUUUGGAGAGCCAAAACUUUCGUUUGUCUGUGUUUGGGGAAAGAAAAGAUUACCAGUUCGACUAAUGGCUGAAGCAAUUUUUAUAAAAGUCAAGAAAAAGUUAGGGUUACUGAGGCCGAGCGAUUGCAAAGAAGAAAGAGCAUGAAUCGAGAUCCAGUGGAAGGGUUUAACGGCGGCGGAGGACAAAAGUAAUUAAAUCGGAUCUGACAUAUAUUUUACUUAUACUAUAUGAUAUUUGUAAAUAGUAUAGAACAAAUUGUGGUAUGCAUCACCUGAUAUUUAUACGAAAAUCCUUAAUGAUGUACUAAAGAACCACCUUUGUGCUUAGUUGACUAUCUUUUGAUAAACUGGUUGACUAUAGUAUUUUUUCCGUUUGUGGGUGUGACUCAUUGUAUACUAUAGGGUCACUAACUGUCUGUAUUUGGGUUUAAGUUCCAAUGAUAUACUGAAAAUGUGACUAUACUCUAUGAGAAACGUUAAUAGAAUAGUAACACAGUUGUACGGCACUAGUUCACAUUUUUACAUCACUGGGCUGCUCAUCUGUUGCAGUGUUUGAGAAUUAACGUUAGGUUUUGUUUAACGUUAUAUCCAUCAUAUUAAUUUGGCGCAGUGCUAUAUUGUUAUGGUUUUACAUUUGAUUGCUUUAUAUGUUUCUACAAACACCUAAACAUAGUAUUCUCUGGAAAAUAUUGGAUGACUGUAUAGGUCACAACAACUACAAUACUAUAACGUUUGUAAUAUAGUAUGGCUUACAAAUAUACAUCACAACAGUUUGUUUAUUGCCGAGUCUCCUAAAGCAUCUUUCUCCAUCCAUUUUCAUAUUGGUUCCGGUUCCCUUUUUUAACAACAACUACACUAGACCACUUGGAACUUGUGCAACAACACAUAGGGGAGUAUAAACAUAUUGUAACUAGAAGCCAUUUGUGUGUUUGAUAAUGUAAUCAUACUACAUUGAAUAUAGUAUAGUCUAUUGUUCGAUUUUUUUCAUACACUACAGUCUGUCAUAUAUGUUUUGUUUAAUGGAACGACUUACUUGCUUAUUACGUUUCACAUGUUACACAUGCAUCAACCGUGCUACAUUGCUUGAGGAUUGCUUACCGGAUCUAGAAAUCCAUGUUCCAUCAACCAUUGCUGCCCCCUGUUAUGAUAGGAGUUGUAUCACCUCGACAUCUGCAAUGUCACGUCCAUUCGCUUCUAAAGCUUCCUGGCAUGCCGCAGUGGUACGGAUCGAUUCCUCAAACAAGCGUUGUCUCCCAAAUGAAGCUUCCAUACUUUCCAUAUGUGGGACAACACAGUCAUCCCACACAUAAUCAUGCUCAAGCCUCAUGUCCACAACUUUCUCCUUCCUUCGUGUUCCAGGUGCCGGAUUUGCUAGUGGAAUGAUAUCUCAUGUUCUCGUAUAAUUAUAUCAUUUCACGUUGUAGUAUAGACUAUAGACUGCAUCGCUGGGGGAAUUUAUAAUCUCAAAUUUAUUAAGUUACAUGUGUUAUGAUACAGAAGUGAAAAGUCUAUUCUACAACAUAUGUUUAGUAUAACAAAAUUGAGCACAUGA